AUUGAACGCUGGCGGCAGGCCUAACACAUGCAAGUCGAGCGGGGUUUUCGGACCUAGCGGCGGACGGGUGAGUAAUGCGUAGGAAGCUACCCGAUAGAGGGGGAUACCAGUUGGAAACGACUGUUAAUACCGCAUAAUGUCUACGGACCAAAGUGUGGGACCUUCGGGCCACAUGCUAUCGGAUGCGCCUACGUGGGAUUAGCUAGUUGGUGAGGUAAUGGCUCACCAAGGCGACGAUCCCUAGCUAGUUUGAGAGGAUGAUCAGCCACACUGGAACUGAGACACGGUCCAGACUCCUACGGGAGGCAGCAGUGGGGAAUAUUGGACAAUGGGCGCAAGCCUGAUCCAGCCAUGCCGCGUGUGUGAAGAAGGCCUUCGGGUUGUAAAGCACUUUCAGCGAGGAGGAAGGGUGGUGUGUUAAUAGCACAUCAUUUUGACGUUACUCGCAGAAGAAGCACCGGCUAACUCUGUGCCAGCAGCCGCGGUAAUAC
rnacentral:rRNA from 1 species